rnacentral:rRNA from 1 species
CUACGGGUCGCAGCAGUGGGGAAUAUUGCACAAUGGGGGAAACCCUGAUGCAGCAACGCCGCGUGGAGGAUGACACAUUUCGGUGCGUAAACUCCUUUUAUAGGUCAAGAUAAUGACGGUAGCCUAUGAAUAAGCGCCGGCUAACUCCGUGCCAGCAGCCGCGGUAAUACGGAGGGCGCAAGCGUUACUCGGAAUCACUGGGCGUAAAGAGCAUGUAGGCGGGUUAAUAAGUCAGAAGUGAAAUCCAAUAGCUCAACUAUUGAACUGCUUUUGAAACUGUUAACCCAGAGUGUGGGAGAGGUAGAUGGAAUUUCUGGUGUAGGGGUAAAAUCCGUAGAGAUCAGAAGGAAUACCGAUUGCGAAGGCGAUCUACUGGAACAUUACUGACGCUGAGAUGCGAAAGCGUGGGGAGCAAACAGGAUUAGAUACCCUAGUAGUC